GCCACAUCAGCUUCCUGAAAAAGGAGCAGAUGGCCCUGCUGCGAGACCUGCACCUGGAGAUCCUGAGGCUGCAGAAACGCUGCUCAGAACUGACCCAUGACCUGGAAAUGAGAGAGGCCCAAUCUCACCAGCAAGAACCUGUCUUGUGUGCGAGGGCCUCACUCCUCUCUCGGAGGUGCCCAGAGGACUGUGGGAAGAAGGGCAAAGUCUCUUUCCAGAGGAGCGCGCACAGACCCUCAUCUCCCACGACCACACUUUUGGGGUGAACAGGGUGACUUUGUUAGGUCGAUUCUUCUGCAGAGAUGGUGAAGUACUCUAUCUGCCCACCCACCCACUAAAAGCCAUAGCUCCGUCCGCCUGGCCUCCCCCCAGCUCUAUAGCAAUAGCCCCCUUCCCCCUUCCCUCCUGGGCAUCCAGGGUGUCCAGCUAGGGGCCCCCACCGCACUCUGGUCCCAGGGAUCUUCCAGUGGCCUGCCUGCUUCUCCCGAAGUGACCCCAUCAGCGCCACCCAACUCCCAUCCCUCUUCCAGCAACCACAGAUAAUGACAAUUGUUUGUGAGGUGCUUGGAGAUCCCCUAGAUGAAAGGUUCUGGGUGCUGGGGCAGCUGACUCACUGACUCUCAGCUGAGGUGCUGGAGGUGCCUGGGAAAGGAAAUAAGGCAAGCUGGGGGAGCACCUGUAGCAGAUACAGGGUUCCAGUUUUCACAGAAAUUCCCCUCCUCGCCCUCCUGGAAAUAAUGGAAACCCCUCCACCCGCCUGCACAGAACCCUCUGUGCAGCAGAACGAGACUGGGAGCUGGAGUGCAUGGCCCGCUCUUGGCCACAGGGGCCCAACUCUCCUCAGCCUCAGGGCCCUGGAGAGGCCCCACCCUCCCUGGGUCUGGCUUGAGAGCCCACUUGGCCAAAGGGAAGCCUCGCACCCCCAUGCGCUCCUGGCCCCUGGAAUAUCUUGGUGACUAAGAAGGGAAAGGAUUGCAUUUAUCUCUCCUCUGCUGCACGAAUCCCCAUUGGGAGAGAGAGAGUGUUGAAGAGGACACUCAGGUCCCUAGGCGGAGCUCCUGCCACACCCCAAGUAUGGACAGCUCCAGGACACAGAGCUGCAGGUGGGGACCUCCCCGUGCUCUGGAAAUCAGCCAGGGAGCACUGGGCAGUGCGGUUUGAGGCUCUGUACCCCUGGCCCCCACAGCUCAGCGACAGCACCCUCUAGCUUGGGGGACUAGUCCAGGGCCAAAAUGGGAUAACCCUUCCCCAUAUAAGCAGUAGGAUGGCGUCCCCCCUGGUGGAGAGAGGAAGGAGGCCUAGAGGGUGUGGGGCAGCUUCUCAGCGCGGGGAGCCAGGGGUCUCCAAGCACCUUCUCCCGGACAUGCCAGCCUUGAAUGGGGGAUGUGCAGGGCUUCAAACCCACCUGGCAGGAGCCCUGUGGCAGGGCAGAGGGACCCUGCUCCAAAUUCUCUGUUGGCUGCGCUUUUGUAUCCAAUGCUUUUCAGAGUGUAUUCACUCACCCACAGAAAUAGAGCCCUGUGCUUUAGGGGUGACUGUCAUAUG
rnacentral:lncRNA from 1 species